CGGGUGAGUAACACGUGGAUAACCUACCUAUAAGACUGGGAUAACUUCGGGAAACCGGAGCUAAUACCGGAUGAUAUUUUGAACCGCAUGGUUCAAAAGUGAAAGACGGUCUUGCUGUCACUUAUAGAUGGAUCCGCGCUGCAUUAGCUAGUUGGUAAGGUAACGGCUUACCAAGGCAACGAUGCAUAGCCGACCUGAGAGGGUGAUCGGCCACACUGGAACUGAGACACGGUCAAG
rnacentral:rRNA from 1 species